AGAGUUUGAUCCUGGCUCAGAUUGAACGCUAGCGGGAUGCUUUACACAUGCAAGUCGAACGGCAGCACGAGAGAGCUUGCUCUCUUGGUGGCGAGUGGCGGACGGGUGAGUAAUAUAUCCGAACGUGCCCAGUAGCGGGGGAUAACUACUCGAAAGAGUGACUAAUACCGCAUACGCCCUACGGGGGAAAGGGGGGGAUCGCAAGACCUCUCACUAUUGGAGCGGCCGAUAUCGGAUUAGCUAGUUGGUGGGGUAAAGGCUCACCAAGGCAACGAUCCGUAGCUGGUUUGAGAGGACGACCAGCCACACUGGGACUGAGACACGGCCCAGACUCCUACGGGAGGCAGCAGUGGGGAAUUUUGGACAAUGGGGGAAACCCUGAUCCAGCCAUCCCGCGUGUAUGAUGAAGGCCUUCGGGUUGUAAAGUACUUUUGGCAGAGAAGAAAAGGCAUCCCCUAAUACGGGAUGCUGCUGACGGUAUCUGCAGAAUAAGCACCGGCUAACUACGUGCCAGCAGCCGCGGUAAUACGUAGGGUGCAAGCGUUAAUCGGAAUUACUGGGCGUAAAGCGUGUGUAGGCGGUUCGGAAAGAAGGAUGUGAAAUCCCAGGGCCCAACCUUGGAACUGCAUUUUUAACUGCCGAGCUAGAGUAUGUCAGAGGGGGGUAGAAUUCCACGUGUAGCAGUGAAAUGCGUAGAUAUGUGGAGGAAUACCGAUGGCGAAAGCAGCCCCCCUGGGAUAAGUACUUACGCUCAGACACGAAAAGCGUGGGGAGCAAACAGGGAUUAGAUACCCUGGUAGUCCCCGCCCUAAACGAUGUUCAACUAGCUGUUGGGGCCGUUAGGCCUUAGUAGCGCAGCUAACGCGUGAAGUAGACCGCCUGGGGAGUACGGUCGCAAGAUUAAAACUCAAAGGAAUUGACGGGGACCCGCACAAGCGGUGGAUGAUGUGGAUUAAUUCGAUGCAACGCGAAAAACCUUACCUACCCUUGACAUGUCUGGAAUGCCGAAGAGAUUUGGCAGUGCUCGCAAGAGAACCGGAACACAGGUGCUGCAUGGCUGUCGUCAGCUCGUGUCGUGAGAUGUUGGGUUAAGUCCCGCAACGAGCGCAACCCUUGUCAUUAGUUGCUACGCAAGAGCACUCUAAUGAGACUGCCGGUGACAAACCGGAGGAAGGUGGGGAUGACGUCAAGUCCUCAUGGCCCUUAUGGGUAGGGCUUCACACGUCAUACAAUGGUCGGGACAGAGGGUCGCCAACCCGCGAGGGGGAGCCAAUCUCAGAAACCCGAUCGUAGUCCGGAUCGCAGUCUGCAACUCGACUGCGUGAAGUCGGAAUCGCUAGUAAUCGCGGAUCAGAAUGUCGCGGUGAAUACGUUCCCGGGUCUUGUACACACCGCCCGUCA
rnacentral:rRNA from 1 species